UUCAUUUAGGUACAAUGGUGCGAAACCAACUACCAACAUGGUUAUAGUGAACAUUAAACUCCUGUCGGGUUUCACAGCAGAUACGUCACUGCUUGGAUCGCCACUGGAUACAUUUGCUCCAUUAGUGCAGUGGGUAGAUAACUGGAGAUGACCAUGUGCUUGUGUAUCUGAAAGGGGUGACUACAACUGAAACAGGUUCUUGCAGUGCAGAAUCUCAAGCCAGCGGUCGUUGAGGUUUAUGACUAUCAGCCAAGUGAUGUGUUUGAGACCACAUAAAUGCCUCCCUGUCCAUGAUUGUGCUUCAUUUCUGGCUAUAGGAUGCAUGAAUGAAAUGAAAUAAAACUCCUCUUAAAAAUCAGUC